GAUUAACGCUAGCGGCAGGCAUAAUACAUGCAAGUUGAACGGGAUAAGUUUAGCAAUAAACUUUGAGAGUGGCGCACGGGUGCGUAACACGUAUGCAACCUACCCGAUACAGGGGGAUAGCCUCUCGAAAGAGAGAUUAAUACCCCAUAACAUAGAGUAUAGGCAUCUAUAUUUUAUCAAAGUUCCGACGGUAUCGGAUGGGCAUGCGGUUGAUUAGCUAGUUGGUGAGGUAACGGCUCACCAAGGCGACGAUCAAUAGGGGGUCUGAGAGGAUGUCCCCCCACACUGGUACUGAGACACGGACCAGACUCCUACGGGAGGCAGCAGUAGGGAGUAUUGGUCAAUGGGGGCAACCCUGAACCAGCCAUGCCGCGUGCAGGAAGAAGGCUUUCUGAGUUGUAAACUGCUUUUGGAAGGGAACAAAACGGGCAUGCGUGCCAACUUGAGUGUACCUUCAGAAUAAGCACCGGCUAACUCCGUGCCAGCCGCCGCCGUAAGAC
rnacentral:rRNA from 1 species